AUUUAGCUCCAAAAAGACAUACUUAGCUAAUGUCACGCCGUCGGUUUAAUACUAGGCUAAUCAUACACGCAAAUGCGUACGAUUGAAUCCAAGGACUCAUGGGAAGAUAUCACAACACAAUUCUAGACACAAAUAAAAAUAAAACAAGCUUCAUAUUACAAGCCAGGGGCCUCGAGGGCUAUAAUACAGAAGCUCGAUAAAAACAAGAGUCAGCGGAAGCAACAAUAUCUGAGUACAUACAUAAAACAUGGGGUGCCUUAGAGAAG
rnacentral:lncRNA from 1 species